GCCUAACACAUGCAAGUCGAACGGGACCUUUCGGGGUCAAGUGGCGCACGGGUGCAUAACACGUAGCUCAUCUGCCCUACAGCGCGGGAUAACGUGCGGAAACGCGUGCUAAUACCGCAUACGCUGGGCGACUGCAGAGGUCGCUCAGGAAACGCGCAAGCGACUGGAGGAGGAGGCUGCGGCCCAUCAGGUAGUUGGCGGGGUAAAAGCCCACCAAGCCGACGACGGGUCGGGGGUCUGAGGGGAUGACCCCCCACACUGGGACUGAGACACGGCCCAGACUCCUACGGGAGGCAGCAGUGAGGGAUAUUGCGCAAUGGGGGAAACCCUGACGCAGCGACGCCGCGUGGGCGAAGAAGGCCUUCGGGUCGUAAAGCCCUUUUCCCACUGAGGAGAACAAGGACAGUAGGUGGGGAAUAAGUCUCGGCUAACUACGUGCCAGCAGCCGCGGUAAU
rnacentral:rRNA from 1 species